CCAAAGGCUCUUUUCAGAGCCCCCACUCUUUCAAGAAAGAGUUG
rfam:Neotoma lepida isolate 417 scaffold_11555, whole genome shotgun sequence.